rnacentral:tRNA from 1 species
GUCCAUGUAGCGCAGUGGAUAGCGCGUUGGACUUCUAAUCUAAAGGUCGUGGGUUCGAAUCUCACCGGGGAUG